rnacentral:rRNA from 1 species
UACGUAGGGGGCAAGCGUUGUCCGGAUUUAUUGGGCGUAAAGAGCGUGUAGGCGGCCUGAAAGGUCAGCUGUGAAAACUCGGGGCUCAACCCCGAGACGUCGGUUGAAACCAUCUGGCUAGAGUCCGGAAGAGGAGUGUGGAAUUCCCGGUGUAGCGGCGAAAUGCGCAGAUAUCGGGAAGAACACCCGUGGCGAAGGCGGCACUCUGGGACGGUACUGACGCUGAGACGCGAAAGCGUGGGGAGCGAACAGG